AUUUAUAUCGAUUCUAUUUCAAUUACUGGGAAAUUAGUUAUUAGCAUUCGUUAAUCGAACAUAUCACAUUAUAUUCCCCCUCCAGAAGCACGACUCUCUGUAUAUGAUGCUUUUAAAUUGUUUACGCGCGUCUUAGCCUCAAGACCACAAUACAGAUUUGUAGUGCCGAACAAGAAAGACAAAAACCCGGGUUUUAAAAAACAAUAACGAAUAUAUUUAAUUUUAUACAUAUAUAAACGUAUAGUGGUCUGACGGGAAUCAGUUAUAAACUUCAUAUCGAAGAGUGAAUAAUCAGCGGAAUGAACAAGUUACUCCUUUUCCUAUCGGCAUUUGUUGCCUUUGUCGCAGCCGAUAUUGAAAAGGACGGUACAGAAUUCUUUAGGGGGGUGCAUCGAAGAUGCCAAGAAGAUCCGAAGACGGGAGUUCCAGAAGAACAAAUCAAACAAAUGUAUCAGGGCCACUGGGAGGCUUGCCCCAAAUUAAAACUACAUAUGGUGUGCAUGUACCGAGGAUUUAAUUAUAUCGACCAAUAUGGAAUUAUAAACAAAGAUCUUCUGAAAUCACAAUGGUCAACCUUAUACAACAAAGAAGAUGUUCAAAAACUUCUUAAAUGUUUGGUUCAAAAAUGUAAUACAAUUGACACCGUAUGGGAUUUGGCAAAAUGUAAACAUGACACUGUUGGAAGCCUUGUUGAACUAGAAACAUUGUGGUAUGAUAAGGGAGGAAAUGACACUGGAAGAAUUGUAACAUGUAAUUAACAGAAAUAUCUUCUCAAUUUAUUUAUUAUAAUUUUUAUAUUAUAUCCUUUUUGCAAU